AGAAAAGGCAGACCUGCCAACAGGAAGAUGUUUGUACGCCUCGCUGCUCUCUAGGUAAAUUCAUACAAAUUAUGGAUAGGAAAACACAAGUGUGGUUUUUAACCAUGGAUUCCAGAUAGUCCUCAAAUUUGUUGGAUCUUCUUGGCACACCCUGCAAUCAUCAACCUCGACGACCAGUCGCUGCCCAGCCAAGUGACAGGAAGCGAGCAUGUUAACAAGCAGUGAACAGUCUCUGAGUGGCCUGCCCAUCACCUGCAUGCUCCCACACACCGCAUUCUCCAUCUUUGCACCAGCAUGGAGUUGCCGCUAAGAGAGGCUACUGGAGAGGAGGUGAAAUGGUACGAGCUCCUGAUGCCGCUUCUGGAACCCAUGGUGGAGAUGGACGUCCUGGACAACCAUCUAAAUCAUUCACCACCACCCCCACUCGUCGACCCAGAAGAGCUGCCAAUGUUAACUCUGUUAACAGAAGAUGGUAUAGGCUACCUGGACGACCAGCACACCCUGCAACCAUCAACUUCAACGACCAAUCGCUGUCCAGCCAAAUGAGAGGAAGCGAGAAUGUUAACAAACAGUACAUGAACAAUCAGUAAACAGUUGCUGAGUGGCCUCUCCAUCACCUGCAUGCUCCCACUCCACCGUGGAAGUCACUCUCACUGUCAGAUCAAGCAAAGUAUUACCAGCUAGCCGACAUAGAGAAACAUAUCCACCAAGAGAUGUACCCAAACUGGUCCUGCACAGACAACUAUGGCAAAAGGAAGAGGAAGCAGAGGACAAAGGUCUCGACAGGAGAACAAUGUCCAUGUGGUUGCCACUGUGGGACACAAUAAAAGAAAAGGCAGACCUGCCAACAGGAAUACACUUGUACGCCUCGCUGCUCCUUUGGUACGCAUUUUGUUGCAUUUGGAGUUCGGUCUCCUUGUCUCAUUAAUUACCAUCGUUUUUUUUGCGUUGAAGGAAGCUGACGAGCUAAAUAGUCAACCAGGGUUUAGGUUGAUCCCAGACGUAACUUCACACGCUCAACGCUGAUGAAGAUAAAAAAGCAGGGGUGUUCAAAAUGCGGCCUUGAGGCCAUUUGCUGACUGUGGCUUAAUUGGCCCACAGCAUAUUGUAGAUACAAAAUUAGACUUCAAAAAAUGAGAAAUGGCCCUGUGAUGAGGUGGCGACUUGUCCAGAGUGUACCCCGCCUCCGCCCGAAUGCAGCUGAGAUUGUCUCCAGCACCCCCCGCGACCCCAAAAGGGACAAGCGGUAGAAAAUGGAUGGAUGGAAAUGAGAAAAACAAAGUCAAAGUCAUUAUGUAACAAGAAAAGAAGGGGUGGGAGAACUCAUAAAAUGUCUUCAAAAUUGGCAGAUCUGAAAAUGUGCUGCUGUUUGACAAAAGCUACUAUUAAAAUGUCCUUUCUUCCAUAAAUUCAUACUUCUUUUUUCCAGUUUAUGGAAAGAAAAACUUAUUUGUGGGUUUUAACCAUGAUUUCAGAUAAGACAUCAUCAACCAUACAACUUAAUGCAUGCAAUACAUUUAGUUUUAUUAAUGCAUAAAGAGCUUAAUAACAGCUGAGAUCUCCCCUACGCCCCAUUCAGACAUCAACACUUUAAAUGGGUUUUUUUAUAGCUAUUUGUUGUUGUUGUGUCAACAACCCUACUUAUAUCAACAAUUAAAGAAAGGCGUUUUAAGAAAUUUCGAGUUACAUAACUUUAGGUAGACACAUAAAUAUAUCAUCCCGAUGUACAGUUUUGCCCGUCAUGUUAACAAUCCUAACAUUGUAUGCAUAUCAUUUUAAUAUCUGCUCUCCCUUCAAUUUUUUUAUCUUUCCUUUUUCAAUUGACUUAACAGUUUUCAAAACAUUUCAAAAGCCAAGUAAUUUUUUUGUAUUGAAUUGUAAGAAGACAUCUCAUGAGAAGAUUGUUAAACCUUUUAUGCAACACCAUAGGCGCCGAUCUACAUUUCUGCCAAUGAGUGCUUGGACAGGCGGUAAAUCUGACGCUACUAUUCUGAGUAUGCACGGUUUUUGCUUGGGGGUGAAAAAUAAUUUGCCAUCAAUCCAACGUGGGUGCUCGGCAUUGUCUGUGGGUGCUCGGGCCCCGAAGAACCCACGGGAUCAGCGCCUAUGUGCAAGACCAGCAUGGAGCUGACGGCUGAGAGGCUACUGGAGAGGAGGUGAAGUGGUACGAGCUCCUGAUGCCGCUCCUCCAACCAGUGAUGGAGUUGGACGUCCUGGACAACUAUCAAAAUCAUUCACCACCAUCUCUACAAGCAGUACAUGAUCCAUCAGUGAACAUUCUCUGAGUGGCCUGUCCAUCACCUGCAUGCUCCCACUCCACCGGCACAGUCACCAAGCUCUGUGGAAACCAAUAUUGACCGCUGACUUAUUGGCCGGAAAAGCAGAAGCUCAUACCCUGCGCUCAACUCCCUCCUCGUGUAUCGUCGUAGUGGCCAACCCAUGGACGCCCGUCUCCCCGCCAGUCGCAGCAUUGCUCUAUUCGGCGACGCCAUCUAAAUCUUUUUUUCUGGCUGCGGGGACUCAUGGCUUGGACUGGCGGCCGUCCCUCUGGUUCUUUGUGGCUGGGACGCUGUUUUAGUGACCCUCUGCCAGGUCCACCUCCCUUUGUUUUUUGGGGAACAUCUAGGAUCCGUUCCUUGGGGUAAGGGGGGUGUGUUCCUUUCAUGAUCCCACAUGACAGUUUGGACAUUAUUAUGUUUCCUGUACGUUGUAUUAUUUCCUGCCCAGUGCUUUUAUUUUUUGUUCCACUUCCUGUCUGCCUUUGUUUACCAGCCACAUUACUUCUGAAAUGAGAACCUGCCACUAGUUUGUAAUUAGUAGGCUCACCUGCCAGCAAUCACUAAUCAUUAAGCUUCUUAUGCCUGCCUUGUCCAGAGAACAAUGCUGAUUCAGUUGAUUUUUGUAUGUAAAAAGAAAACAUGUUUUUGUGUGGAUCAUAUGAUGAGUGAGUGUUAAGGGAGGGAACACUCAUUAUGGCAAAAAAAUAAAAUAUAAACUGUUUAGGUUUUUAGUCAGGCUUCCUUCUUGUCAUCCAUUCUUCUGUACUAUGUAAAAAAGAGAAUUGAUCAAACAUGGAUGGUUAAAGAAUGGCUGUGUGUUGGUAUUGAUGCUUUUAUUUUGCUCCUACUGUGUGGAAAGCUAUAAUGCAUAU